AGUGAACGCUGGCGGUAGGCCUAACACAUGCAAGUCGAACGGCAGCACAGUAAGAGCUUGCCCUUACGGGUGGCGAGUGGCGGACGGGUGAGGAAUACAUCGGAAUCUACUUUUUCGUGGGGGAUAACGUAGGGAAACUUACGCUAAUACCGCAUACGACCUACGGGUGAAAGCAGGGGAUCUUCGGACCUUGCGCGAUUGAAUGAGCCGAUGUCGGAUUAGCUAGUUGGCGGGGUAAAGGCCCACCAAGGCGACGAUCCGUAGCUGGUCUGAGAGGAUGAUCAGCCACACUGGAACUGAGACACGGUCCAGACUCCUACGGGAGGCAGCAGUGGGGAAGAUUGGACAAUGGGCGCAAGCCUGAUCCAGCCAUACCGCGUGGGUGAAGAAGGCCUUCGGGUUGUAAAGCCCUUUUGUUGGGAAAGAAAAGCAGCAGGUUAAUACCCCGCUGUUCUGACGGUACACAAAGAAUAAGCACCGGCUAACUUCGU
rnacentral:rRNA from 1 species